rnacentral:rRNA from 1 species
AUUGAACGCUGGCGGCAUGCCUUACACAUGCAAGUCGAACGGUAACAGGUCUUCGGAUGCUGACGAGUGGCGAACGGGUGAGUAAUACAUCGGAACGUGCCUAGUAGUGGGGGAUAACUACUCGAAAGAGUGGCUAAUACCGCAUGAGAUCUACGGAUGAAAGCAGGGGAUCGCAAGACCUUGUGCUACUAGAGCGGCCGAUGGCAGACUUAGGUAGUUGGUGGGAUAAAAGCUUACCAAGCCGACGAUCUGUAGCUGGUCUGAGAGGACGAUCCGCCCAACUGGGACUGGGACACGGCCCAGACUCCUACGGGAGGCAGAAGUGGGGAAUUUUGGACAAUGGGCGCAAGCCUGAUCCAGCAAUGCCGCGUGCAGGAUGAAGGCCUUCGGGUUGUAAACUGCUUUUGUACGGAGCGAAAAGGCUCUCUCUAAUACAGGGGGCUCAUGACGGUACCGUAAGAAUAAGCACCGGCUAACUACGUGCCAGCCGCCGCCGUAA